rnacentral:rRNA from 1 species
CCAAUAGCGUAUAUUAAAGUUGUUGCAGUUAAAAAGCUCGUAGUUGAAUUUCGGGAUCAAUAUAUCGGUCGUGCCUUGGUACGUACUGGUAUCAUUGGUUUCUCCUUUCUGACGAACCAUGAUGUCAUUAAUUUGGUGUUAUGGGAAGUUAGGACUGUUACUUUGAAAAAAUUAGAGUGUUUAAAGCAGGCUUUAGCUUGAAUACAUUAGCAUGGAAUAAUGAAAUAGGACGUUCGAACCUAUUUUGUUGGUUUCUAGGAUCAACGUAAUGAUUAAUAGGGAUAGUUGGGGGCAUUAGUAUUCAAUUGUCAGAGGUGAAAUUCUUGGAUUUAUUGAAGACUAACUACUGCGAAAGCAUUUGCCAGGGAUGUUUUCAUUAAUCAAGAACGAAAGUUAGGGGAUCGAAGACGAUCAGAUACCGUCGUAGUCUUAACCAUAAACUAUGCCGACUAGGGAUCGGAUGAUGUUAAUUUUUUAAUGACUCAUUCGGCGCCUUACG